rnacentral:rRNA from 1 species
AUUGAACGCUGGCGGUAGGCCUAACACAUGCAAGUCGAACGGCAGCACAGUAAUAGCUUGCUCUUACGGGUGGCGAGUGGCGGACGGGUGAGGAAUACAUCGGAAUCUGCUUUUUCUUGGGGGAUAACGUAGGGAAACUUACGCUAAUACCGCAUACGACCUACGGGUGAAAGCAUGGGAUCUUCGGACCUUGCGCGAUUGAAUGAGCCGAUGUCUGAUUAGCUAGUUGGCGGGGUAAAGGCCCACCAAGGCGACGAUCCGUAGCUGGGCUGAGAGGUAGAUCAGCCCAGCUGGAACUGAGCAACGGUCCCGACUCCUACGGGAGGCCGCAGUGGGGAAUAUUGGACAAUGGGGGGAAGCCUGAUCCAGCCAUACCGGGUGGGUGAAGAAGGCCUUCGGGUUGUAAAGCCCUUUUGUUGGGAAAGAAAAGCAGCAGGUUAAUACCCCGCUGUUCUGACGGUAACCAACGAAUAAGCACCGGCUAACUUCGUG